UUAAAAGGAUAACAGCAAUCCAUUGGUUUU
rnacentral:tRNA from 1 species